rnacentral:lncRNA from 1 species
UGGUAAAAAAGAAAGGAUGAGAACACAUAACAAACCUCAUGCCCUCCCUUCAUGCCACACCUCUCUUCUCCCUUAUUUUUCAUGCGUGCCUCCUCUCUAUUUGGCAUCCAAAAUCAGAUCUUAAUCAGGUUAGUUGCCACCCCACAUGAUUCCAUGUUUAAAUAGGAAGUAGAUAGGGUUUUAGGUUAGAGAUAAGAGUCCAUGUAACCUUGGACUCUCUAGUUAUGCCACCCAACACCUAUUCCUAUUUGCGCCCACAUAUCACACGAAGAAAAGGGAAUAGCGCAUGAACUUCUCUGAUGCCAAAAAACAUCUGGUCAUGGAGAAAAAAUAGGCAUCAAACAUAAGUGGGCAUGGGGCUAGUUGGCGC